ensembl:rRNA 5S_rRNA 5S ribosomal RNA
GUCUACGGUCAUACCACCCUGAACAUGCCUAAUCUCGUAAGCUAAGCAGGGUCGUGGCUGGUUAGUAUUUGGUUGGGAGAUGACCUGGGAAUACCGGGUGCUGUAGGCU